AGACUGAAGUGCCUUGUUUUUGUUCCCUGCCAGAAAUGAGAAUGAUCAGGACAUGGAGAAAAUUAUAAAAAGCAGCUUAAAUCUGCUAGACUUGGCAAACACCACAAUGAUAUAUUUUCCUCUAAAAAAGUGACAACAAUAAGAAUAAAUAAAAACAAUUAAUUAGAAUCCUUUAAAAUGACUUUUAAAACAUGGAUGAUGAGAAAACGUAAAAAUUGUUUUUAUACAUUUGUUGUGGACCAUAUACACCUGUGUGUGUUAUAAAUAAGCAAGACAUUUCUGCUUGCUCUGUUCAGGAAGAACUCAGCUGAGCAAAGUUGUUAAAGAUCAUAUGGAAGAAAAUUUAUGCCAAUAACAUUUUGGUCUAAUGAAGAAGUCUAUUAAGAUGUAAAAUGGUAGAAUGUUGUAAAAUGCUAGUUGAAAUUGCUGUACAUUCUGCAUCCUCUUGGGAGAUAGAUUUCCAGGGAUCUCUUGUAUUUCUGCCAUCUAUAAGCCUACCUUUAGAAGGUAUACUCUGUUCCUCUGGAGUAGAGGGGAGUUUCGUUCAUUGCUCAGAAUAAUGAAGAUUAUAUCUCUCUUUGGGGCAAAGGUUGGUUGAGUAGGUUUGUCUUUAUACAAUUCAUAUUUUCUAACUUUAAGGCUCCUCAGCUGUGAUGCAAACCCCAUUGUAUGUACUUUAUCCAUUCAAGCCCAUCCUCAUGUUGCCUCCAGGGAAUCUGCAGAGCAAGGGAAACUGAUGUGGCCAUGAAGCACACUCUGCUUGCUGUGCAGUGAGUAAACGUUCUUUGUCUCUGACCCAGGAAUCUCCUGUCUUUUGCCAUCUAUGAAACUGCAGCAUGCUGAUUUGUUAGCUUGUUAAGUAGUACAAAAUCUCAGACCCUUUGCAGUUCUUAACAUAUCAGUCUUUCCAAUUUUGGCUUGUUUUUUUUUUUCUUGCACAGUUCAUCAUUUCGGUCUCUGUUCAUCUCAUCCCUUUCUUCCUCCUUAUAUUCUGCAUCACCUUAUUUCUCAUUAUUCCUUGUUUAUUCAAACUAAUCUCGUCCGCUAUAUGUGAAAAUAUCACUUAGUACAGAACUUGGCUCAUGAUAUAUAUCUGUUAAAUGAACCAGUACAUUUAUAAGUUUCUAUUUCUGAAGAGCAUUUCUCACUUGGCUUAUCAUUGACAACUUGAAUUAGAUGUGCAUAAUGUUAAUUCAAUUUUGAGUUUCAGUUGUUAAUUUCCCUUUAAAUUGUAGGAUGUUGAAUUGAUCAUAGGAAUUCUAUGAACUAUAUUUUUCAAAUGUUUGCUGCACUAUUUUCUUCUUUCUAGGGGAUUUUUUUUCUCUCUUUCUCUCUCUUCCUUUUGAUGUACAGGGCCAUUUAAGUCCUACAUGCAUUUCUGGAAAACUAAAACCCCAAAUCUAAGCCUGUUGAACCUCUUGUCACACAAGUAUUUGAAAGAAUGAUACUUAAGGGAAAUAGAAAAUGACACUUUUUCCCUCGUCUUUUGAAGACGAAAUGAUCCACCCCCCUUCAAUUCUACCAAAAGAGAUCCCCAGCUCAUUUUCCUUAGCAAGAGCUUUAAAGUGUAAAAAACUCAUCAAACAUCUUUUCCUCUGAGACAAUGUCAUCUGAGUUCAAAGGAUGUACACAGCUCUGCAAAACUGCUGUCUUGUUUCAGUGAUAAGGCCUUGGCUUUCAUUUUAUAUUUGAUUCCAAGAAAAUCAAAUCUGUUUUUAUGUACACUAUGACUAUAACUAAAUCAGGAAAUUAGUAAGAAAUAAUCUAUUUCCACAGACAUUGGGGGGAGGAGUUUCCAGUUUUUUUUUACAAAAAUCCUAAAAUGACUCUUCAGUUAGGUUACAUUUUCACUCUCAAGAUAUACUCAGUUAUUAAAACUAAAUAUAUAUAUAUUUAUCCUUCCACACAGUGGACAAAACCUAUACUGUUACUCUUAAGAAACAAUAUUGUCUUCUUCCGUGAGGUUAACUCUUUGGAAAACCCUUACUGGCUAACUAGAAGAUUGAGGAUAAUGCUUUGUUUGCUUAUUUUCUCCUAAAUAUGGUCAAAACUUCUGCACCAUGAUGAUGAUUAUUUUUUAAAUAAACAUUUUAAUGUUUAUUCAGUGACUUAACUGAAUCAGCUUCUGGACACGGGGCACUGAAAAUCUAAAUAAAAAAAAUCCUAGGACAUGCGAUUUGAUCACAGCAUAUUCAGAUCCAUUCAAUAGAGACAGAGUAGGGAGUUCUUGUCACCUUGUCGCGGAUCAGCAGUUAACGAAUCCGGCUAGCAUCCCUGAGUGUGCAGGUUUGAUCCCUGGCCUUGUUCAGUGUGUUGGGGAUCCAACAUUGCCACGAACUGUGGUGUGGGUCAAGAGACAUGGAUCGGAUCCAGGGUUUCUGUGGCUGUGGCAUAGGCCAGCAGCUUUAGCUCUGAUUUAACCCUAGCCUGGGGUCAAAAAAAAAACAGAGACAGAGUAAUACUCAUUAUAAUGCUUGAGCUAUAUUAGGUUAACUUUCUUAUACAUUAAAAAAUAAUUUCAGACAUUAUGAAAUAAACUUACCUCAAUAAUCAAAAUGUGAAGAAUUAAUAACCUCACUAAUAUUUGGUUAUAAACAUUCACUUGUGAAAAUUGGGCAAAAUAAAGAUGUAGUUGUAAAUAUUUUGUCUCCUCAAGUUCAUGUAUCAUGGAUAAAUUAAAAAUACUAGGACGAUCUAAAAUAUAUGAGUUAAAAUAGUCACCAAAAUGACAUAUUUGGAGUAACUUUGUUUUAGGUGAAAGAUUCUAUCAUUUUUAACCUCAAAUAUCAAAUCAAAUAUUUAGAAAUUUUAUGGAGUAUAUGCGCUGAUCAAAAAGAAGUGGAUACUACACCUUGAUUUCUCAAGAAAGUUCCCCUACCCCAACAAACUUCAUAAAACCUUUUCAGCAUCUGUUGGGACAUGACCAUGCCCAGAGCAAAGUGAAGAAAAAAUUGAAAAUUAACUUGAUUACUUUUGUUACUCUCAUGCCUUUCAAACUCAUUUAUAGAUUCUGAUGAGUUUUGUGCACACUUUAAUAAAUGAAUUAGGAGUUCCCGUCAUGGCUCAGUGGUUAAUGAAUCUGACUAGGAACCAUGAGGUUGCAGGUUCGAUACCUGGCCUCGCUCAGUGGAUUAAGGAUCCGGCAUUGCCAUGAGCUGUGGCGUAGGUGACAGAUGUGGCUCGGAUCCAGUGUUGCUGUGGCUGUGGCAUAGGCUGGCAUCUACAGCUCCGAUUAGACCCCUAGCCUGGGAAACUCCAUAUGCCGCAGGAAGCGGCCCUAGAAAAG
rnacentral:lncRNA from 1 species